UAGUGGCGAACGGGUGAGUAACACGUAAGUAACCUGCCCCCGAAGUAAGGAAUAAUCCGCCGAAAGGCAGACUAAUACCUUAUGUUGUGGCUCUUCGCAGGGAGGGUCACCAAAGCCUUCGGGCGCUUUGGGAGGGACUUGCGUCCUAUCAGGUAGUUGGCGAGGUAAUGGCUCACCAAGCCGAAGACGGGUAGCUGGUUUGAGAGAAUGACCAGCCACACUGGGACUGAGACACGGCCCAGACUCCUACGGGAGGCAGCAGCAAGGAAUAUUGCGCAAUUGGGCGAAAGCCUGACGCAGCGACGCCGCGUGAGGGAAGAAGGCCCGUCGGGUCGUAAACCUCUUUUCGUUGGGGAAGAAUAAUGACGGUACCCAGGGAAUAAGUCACGGCUAACUACGUGCCAGCCGCCGC
rnacentral:rRNA from 1 species